AGUGAACGCUGGCGGUAGGCCUAACACAUGCAAGUCGAACGGCAGCACAGUAAGAGCUUGCUCUUACGGGUGGCGAGUGGCGGACGGGUGAGGAAUACAUCGGAAUCUACUUUUUCGUGGGGGAUAACGUAGGGAAACUUACGCUAAUACCGCAUACGACCUACGGGUGAAAGCAGGGGAUCUUCGGACCUUGCGCGAUUGAAUGAGCCGAUGUCGGAUUAGCUAGUUGGCGGGGGAAAGGCCCACCAAGGCGACGAUCCGUAGCUGGUCUGAGAGGAUGAUCAGCCACACUGGAACUGAGACACGGUCCAGACUCCUACGGGAGGCAGCAGUGGGGAAUAUUGGACAAUGGGCGCAAGCCUGAUCCAGCCAUACCGCGUGAGUGAAGAAGGCCUUCGGGUUGUAAAGCCCUUUUGUUGGGAAAGAAAAGCAGCAGGUUAAUACCCCGCUGUUCUGACGGUACCCAAAGAAUAAGCACCGGCUAACUUCGUG
rnacentral:rRNA from 1 species